rnacentral:rRNA from 1 species
AACGUAGGAGACGAACGUUAUCCGGAGUUACUGGGCGUAAAGGGCGUGCAGGCGGUCUGAUAAGUUCGGCGUGAAAUAUUCCGGCUUAACCGGGAUAGGUCGUCGGAGACUGUCGGACUAGAGGGUGAUAGAGGCGUGUGGAAUUCCGGGUGUAGUGGUGAAAUGCGUAGAUAUCGGGAGGAACACCUGUGGCGAAAGCGGCGCACUGGACCAUAACUGACGCUGAGGCGCGAAAGCUAGGGGAGCAAACAGG